rnacentral:rRNA from 1 species
UACGGGGGGGGCAAGCGUUGUCCGGAUUUAUUGGGCGUAAAGAGCUCGUAGGUGGUUCGGUAAGUCGGGUGUUAAACCCCCAGGCUCAACCUGGGGACGCCACUCGAUACUGCUGUGACUUGAGUCCGGUAGGGGAGCGUGGAAUUCCUGGUGUAGCGGUGAAAUGCGCAGAUAUCAGGAGGAACACCAGCGGCGAAGGCGGCGCUCUGGGCCGGUACUGACACUGAGGAGCGAAAGCGUGGGUAGCAAACAGG